GUGUGGAGUGAGUUGAGUUUUAGCUUUCAAGUGCAUUCAGUUUAAGGAGGCAACGCUAACUGAUAAAUUGUCACCUGAUGUAACUUAAACUAUUAAUUAUAAUUAAAGAGAUUCAUCACUGUAUAUUAUACUCGUUCAACUUUGUUGUCUUGUUGGGAGGAAAUGUAUAUGUGAAAGUACUAACCUAAUCCAACAUCAGUGAUGGAUUUUGUCAAAAGAAUUUCAGUUAUAUCUGAAAUAAAGAAAUGUUUGGGCUUCAAAAGAAGUCGAAGAAGAGUUUAUAGCACUCUAAAAAACACGGAAUGGAAGCCUGUAGUUGGACUAGAAAUCCACGCUCAGAUACAGUCUGCCUCCAAGCUGUUUUCAGGAGCAGGAACAGAUUUUUGCUCCUCGACCAACAAAUCGGUUGCUCUCUUUGAUGCUGCGUUUCCUGGCACCCUUCCCGUGCUUAACCAACAAUGUGUCAAGGCAGGUGUCUUAACAGCAUUGGCAUUAUCUUGUGAUCUGAAUGAAGUGUCCUCCUUUGAUAGGAAACACUAUUUUUAUUCUGAUCUUCCAGCAGGUUACCAGAUAACUCAACAAAGAUCGCCUCUUGCAAGGAAUGGAAUUUUAAAAUUUGUUGUAUAUAAGGGGGGCGAGAAUGCUAGGCUUUAUGAAACAUCCUCGCAGAUUCACCAAAUCCAGCUUGAACAAGACAGUGGACGCUCUUUGCAUGACAAAGACAGGAGUCUUGUAGACCUUAACCGAGCAGGUUUACCUCUCAUGGAGCUUGUGUUUAAACCUGAUAUAUCUGAUGGUGAGGAAGCAGCUUCUCUUGUUAAAGAGCUUUGUCUUAUUUUGACGAGGCUGGGAACAUGCUCAUGCAAAAUGGAAGAGGGUGCUCUGAGAGUGGAUGCUAAUGUAUCGGUUCACAAAGAAGGCACACCUCUUGGUGCUAGAACAGAAGUGAAAAAUAUUGGAUCCAUUCGAGCUGUCGCCAAUGCUAUUGAUUUUGAGAUUGCACGUCAGAUAAAACUUCUACAUAAUGGGCAAGAAGUUAUUAAUGAAACACGGUCAUGGGAUUCUGAGACACUUAAAACAGUUCCAAUGAGAGAUAAGGAGGAAAAACAAGAUUAUAGGUUUAUGCCAGAGCCAAAUUUACCUCCUUUACAUUUGAGGAUGAGGGAAAGUCAACCGUCUCAUCCCCACAUGGUAGAUGUUUUAGCACUUAAGAACAAAAUCCCUGAAUCUCCAUUUGAGAUGCGCCAAAGAUAUCAAAAGGAAUACAAUAUUUCAUUGCUACAAGCUGUUCGUCUUGUGAAUGAGGAUGCACUGCUUCCAUUGUUUGCGGAAGCAAUGAGUGAUAAGAAAGACCGUAAUGCGACUAUAUUGACCAACCUACUGCUUAAUGACAUUUUGACUGUACUGAAUGAAAACUCAGAAAUAGUUUUUAUGGUAAGAGAUGUAGGCUGUAUCACAGAUAUGUUGGAUAGUGGAAUUAUCAGCAAAAGUAUCGCUAGAAGUAUUAUUGCAGAGUUGGCUCAAGGCUCAAACAUGUCUGCAAAUGAGAUAGUAGCAAAGAAAGGCUGGAGCCUCAUCAGUGAUCAAGAGGUUCUUGAAGACCUCUGCCGCUGUGCCAUACAAGAAAAUGAAAAAAUUCUUAAGAAACAUGUCUCCGGGAAAAAGAAUGGUAUCGAAGCAUUUGCAAAAAUUGUCUGGAAGAAAACUGAUGGAAGAGCUAACAUGAAAUUAGUCAAGGAAUGGUUCCAGAAAAAUUUGCCAUAUGCUGGGAAAUAAAUUUAGCACUUGUGCAGAAGGCGCGGCGGUGCUCCGGCGCGGCCGAGUGUCCCUCCCUCCUCCCUCGACGUCUACUUCAGGGCGACCGCAGAAACCGAACCGCGCGUCGGAGCCCGCGAUAGCUAAAGCGGCUGCGGCAAAGCAGCAGCGAGACCGACGAACACAAGAAGAGGCGGAGACAGAGAGAGAGAGAGAGAGGCUGAAGAACGGCAGAGAAAGGACAGAGAGGGACAAAAAGCUGUCACCGGUGGCGAGCGAUGAGAAAAGGGAGAAUCCCAGCGCCUUAGUGAAGAUUAGUGUUUAAUCUGGUUCUGUGAACUCAUAUAUUGUGAUUUUUUACGUUAUUUGUGAUAGUUGUUGUUUUAUUUUAUUGCUCUAAAAAGGGACUGAUUUUUGUUGUUUUCCUCCUUGUUAUUUUUUGUACUGCCUUGUGAUCAGUCUUGUUUUCUGUGUUUGUGUAAUUUUUUGUUGUUGGAAGAGUUACAUAUUGUACUAGAAUCAACGAAUUAAAAUGAAUUAGAUUUUCGUGAAUUAGAAAAUGGGACGAGAGAUUGAGAGAUGCCGCAGGCUAGUUUUAUUAAGUUUAAAAACUGCUUCAAGAAGACGCUCACUGUUUUUUUUAUGAUGUCCUAAAUACAGCAAUGUUCGACUCAGUCUUUUCUAACAUUCCGUUUGCGUAACAGUGGGUAUCGGUACUGCGUGCUCUCUGCUAGUCAAAUUUUGGGGAACCCUUUUACAAGUUUUCCACCAUUCACUUUUUUGUAAAUUAUAUGGGUACAUUUUUUUAUGUGCUAUGUUUUAAUUUCCUGUAAAGUUACCUACAAAUACAAAUAUAUUUAAUAUAUUUUCACAGCAUCAUGACUUUGUCUUGUGUGACUUUUUUAGUUCAAUAUCGGUUUGUAAUGAUAAGUACCACCUUUUAUUGUAGAAUGUUCACAAUGUUUGUGUAUAUUUGCAUAUACUUCAGUAUUCUGAGUGCCAUUUGAAGUACUACCUGUUACAUACGAGCUGAAGUAUGUAUGCUUCCAAAUCUAUUGUUGUAUACCAAUCUUCUCCUGUGAAGUAGUUGUGGUCCAGUUGGGUACUAGCUAAGAAAGUCACUUCGUGUGCUUUGAGAGCGCGUCAGAUUAUCAGCAGAUAUUUCGUUCUUAGGUGUUAUUCUGUGAUAUUUGUUGCACAAGUAAAUAAUAAUAAUUUUACAAUUUGAAUAUCUUAACUCGUCCUAUACUUGUCCUGGGCGCGUGUUCUAGAGUAGGUAGGCCAUGGCUUGUUUGCCAGUGUGCUGAAAGUAGUCGUCAAGCAACUGACUAAGCAGCUAUAUACUGGGUUUCAAGCCUCAUUUGCUCUAGGACAAAAGACACCCCGCAAGUUGACAUAAAUAGUGAAAGGUACGAUUGGAUGGGUGCAUGUUCCAUAUAAAAGUGCAACGCAUUUUUGUAUCAUGUUGUCUAGCGUUCGAGAUCUGAAAACUAAAGACUGUAGGAUUGUUCUGAGUGUUGAAACGAUUUUAUUUACCGAUGGAAUCGUAAGAGAGAGCUCAGCAAUUUAGUUAGGAAAGGGGUGAAGCCUAAUACUUGAGGUGGUGAAGUUUAUUAUGCCUUUAUUUUGAAAAUGUGUUCAUUUUGAGACCACAAAGUUUGGUGACUUUAAUGUUCUGAAUUUUAGAUCUUUCUGUUUUCAGAGACUUUUCGUAUUUACAAACAAAGUACCUAUGUGCACUUGUUAGUUUUAACAAAAUUGGAUUGUCAUACCUAAGAAAUGUUUGCGAAUUUGUUUGUGUGUAGGGACUUUUGUUACCAUCUCUGCUGUUAGAGUCACGUCUUUUGCUGUUGCAAAAGAUCUGUUUUGUAAACCUAACCUAGUCAUUUUUGUUAAUACGGGUUAGCGCUCGGAAGCCCCGUCCUAAAGUCUUCAUGGCUCGUGAACCCAGCGGUCAUGUGGUGCAGCUCUUCUCCAAAAGAAAACUCUUGUCUCAUGCUAGACCAUUAUCCAUUUUCUUAAUCGGUGGUAGCAGCUCUCGUGUACUCCUGCAAUGUAGGAUCACGUGAUAUUUACCGCUUAGCUCGAUGGUCGUCAAGUUCAAGUUGCAAGAUUAAGAAAACAAUGUUUCUAAUUGUAAUAGCGCUUUAUUGACGACACCUUGUAGACAAAAAAAGUAUUAUCGAUGUAGUUGUUUAGUUUAUGCUGGUCAAUGACCAGUUCUGUAAUUGGAGUUCUGCUGCACGAUGAACGGAUUGGGAUCGCUCGGCUUGUUAAGUUUUGUAUCUUAUUGAUUAUAGGAUAGGAAAAUCAAUCGAGUAUCUUGCGACCCAAUUGCUCCAAAAUUAUCGGAAGUGGGAGUCGUCUACUAGUCAAUUCUAAAUUUUCGACUUCCUUAUAUGUCGACCAUUACUUUAAUUUUUAAAUGUGUGCUUAGUAGUGAAUUUUGAUAUUAGAUUAUACGUGAGGGUAAAGUGAAUUUGAUCAAUAAUAAGAAAUUUUAAUUUGGAAAACACGAGAAAGGAGAGAUGCAACCUGACCAAGCAUCAUAUUGUCUCUAAUAAAUUUUUAAUGUUAUUUUCGGAAUCUCAAAAAACUUCCCUCUGUAAAUAUGACUCUGGUAGAAUUGUAAAUACAACUGAGAAACAUGAAAGGACUGCAAGUACAAUACUCCCGACUAUUCUUGUAGGAAAUGGUGUUUGUAAGUAUGGAUGAGAACCCAUAUCAAACGCUGUGUUAUAAAGAAUUUAUUGGUAAGGUAAUGGGUCCAGAAAGAGAGUACCGUUCGGAAGACCAUACAAGAUGUUUCAGCCUUUGCAGACCAGGAACUCAUAUCGAUUUUAUCCAUAGAAUGGUUUUCUUGUGGGAUUUCUCGCCAUUUCUUUGUCUUAGUGGCCUCAUCGUGAUUAUUUUCCCUGAUUUACCGAAAUUACCUCAACUAAAAGAAUAGCUUUAAAUAAAUAAGGAUAUUAUUAUGCAUUUCGUGCCAUUCUUUUGCCGUUAUGUCGCGGCACUCCUUUCUAGUCAAAGUUUUUUUUCGCACUAAACGGUCAGAACUUGGAAAAGUACAAGUAAUCUUAGACCACGAUUAUCCGUACCAGUUUUGAGAUGAAUGUCUUUCUUCCUUUUAUUUUGCUUUUUUCCUACUCUCUAUCAAACUGUGGCGCAUGCCUGUGAUUUCCCUACUUAUUGUUCUUUCUUCACUAGUGCGAAUAGUGAUAGAUCUAUUUAUUUUGCACAUGUGUGUGCGGGUACAUGUCUGUUUUGACUCUUGUUCCAUUUCACUGAGAGUUCGUGCUCUUUUCCUUCUGUUUCGUUGAUGUCGACGUUGAAUGUUUUUAUUCUUUCGUGUCAGCGCGCUUCUUUGCGGUUGCGCUCUGUUAUUUGGAUGUGGACUGAUGGGAGUUAGUGGGGACGUGCAGCUCGACUCGAGUUCUUGUUUAUAAAUAUGAGAAGUCUAAACUUAUUUACUGUGAAUUAAAAAAAUUCUCAACAGCCAAAAAAACAAAAAAAGAAA